AAAACAUAGUUUCGCUGUGUGGCGAUAAUCUGCAGGGAGCCUGGAUAGCUGUAAUGCUUCAUUGCUGCUUCCUCCAUGUCUGGCUUUGCAUUAACUCUUCAAUUUGCUUGCUUUGGCUUCCCUGACUGUUAAAUGUAUACACACAGGGUCACUUCGAAAUAGGAGAAAAUCGGCUGUCGCAGUCGGCUGCUCCUCAGCCUCCAAGCACCGGUGCUGGAGACUGAAGAGACAGGCAAACAAGAAUGAAAUACGAACAGCAAAAAGAAGAGGCAAAAUGUCUGACAGAAAGUACAACAGAUGCCAUCCUAUGUAACUUGCUGCAUCAAUUUGACUCAUAAAAUGGGAA
rnacentral:lncRNA from 1 species